rnacentral:tRNA from 1 species
GCGCCCGUAGCUCAAUUGGAUAGAGCAUCAGCCUUCUAAGCUGAGGGUUGGAGGUUCGAGUCCUCCCGGGCGCGCCA